rnacentral:rRNA from 1 species
AGCAGCCGCGGUAAUUCCAGCUCCAAUAGCGUAUAUUAAAGUUGUUGCAGUUAAAAAGCUCGUAGUUGAAUUUCGGGAUCAGUACGCUGGUCGUGCCUCCGGUAUGCACUGGUGUCACUGGUUCCUCCCUUCUGAAGAACCAUCAUGCUAUUAAUUUAGUGUGGUGGGAAAUCAGGACUGUUACUUUGAAAAAUUAGAGUGUUUAAAGCAGGCUCACGCUUGAAUACAUUAGCAUGGAAUAAUGAAAUAGGACGUUAGAUCCUAUUUUGUUGGUUUCUAGGAUUGACGUAAUGAUUAAUAGGGAUAGUU